GACAGAGGUGGCAAGCGUUGUUCGGUGUUACUGGGCUUAAAGGGUGCGUAGGCGGCAAGGCAAACGCGUUGUGAAAUACCUCGGCUUAACCGAGGAACAGCUUCGCGGACUACCUUGCUUGAGGCAGGUAUGGGUGCGGGGAACGGUUGGUGGAGCGGUGGAAUGCGUAGAUAUCAACCGGAACGCCGGUGGUGAAGACGCUGCACUGGGCCUGCCCUGACGCUGAGGCACGAAAGCGUGGGUAU
rnacentral:rRNA from 1 species